rnacentral:rRNA from 1 species
AGCGAACGCUGGCGGCAGGCCUAACACAUGCAAGUCGAACGAACCUUUCGGGGUUAGUGGCGGACGGGUGAGUAACACGUGGGAACGUGCCUUUAGGUUCGGAAUAACUCAGGGAAACUUGUGCUAAUACCGAAUGUGCCCUUCGGGGGAAAGAUUUAUCGCCUUUAGAGCGGCCCGCGUCUGACUAGCUAGUUGGUUGAGGUAAUGGCUCACCAAGGCGACGAUCAGUAGCUGGUCUGAGAGGAUGAUCAGCCACAUUGGGACUGAGACACGGCCCAAACUCCUACGGGAGGCAGCAGUGGGGAAUCUUGCGCAAUGGGCGAAAGCCUGACGCAGCCAUGCCGCGUGAAUGAUGAAGGUCUUAGGAUUGUAAAAUUCUUUCACCGGGGACGAUAAUGACGGUACCCGGAGAAGAAGCCCCGGCUAACUUCGUG